AUGAAAACGUACUGUAAGUCACUCUGGAUAAGAGUGUCUGCUAAAUGACAGCAA
rfam:Salmo salar isolate Sally breed double haploid chromosome ssa17, whole genome shotgun sequence.